rnacentral:lncRNA from 1 species
AGCCUAAGUGGAAAGCAAAUUUCCACAAAUUCUAUAAGAGAAAUUAUGACAUUAAAAUGUAAAUAACAAAAAUAUGGAUUAAAAUGUAUUAGUUAUGACAUUAAAAUGUAAAUAGCCAAGUCUGUAAUCCAUGGCUAAUGUACUGUUGCCCCGUUACUAACUCCAUGAUAUUAGUUAUGCUAGGCCAAGCAUAAAAGUGAACUUUUUUAAGCCAAAAGGCAAGCAUUUAUCUUCUAUUUAAGGAACUGAAA